rnacentral:misc_RNA from 1 species
AAGAUUUUAUAUGAUGUGAUGUUGUUGGUUUAGGGUUAUAUUUUGGGAAUUAUUGGUGUGUAGGAAGAAAGAAAGAAUGGUGGGUGGAGUUUGUGAGAUGGAAAGAUAAGAAAUGAGAUUAUAUUAUGUUUAGAGUUAAUAUUUUAAAAUUUAAAUUUGGAGAUAUGAUUUAUGUGUUUAAAUAUUUUUUUGGUUUUUUAUUGUUUUAUUAGU